AUACAUGCAAGUCGAGCGAAUGGAUUAAGAGCUUGCUCUUAUGAAGUUAGCGGCGGACGGGUGAGUAACACGUGGGUAACCUGCCCAUAAGACUGGGAUAACUCCGGGAAACCGGGGCUAAUACCGGAUAACAUUUUGAACCGCAUGGUUCGAAAUUGAAAGGCGGCUUCGGCUGUCACUUAUGGAUGGACCCGCGUCGCAUUAGCUAGUUGGUGAGGUAACGGCUCACCAAGGCAACGAUGCGUAGCCGACCUGAAAGGGUGAUCGGCCACACUGGGACUGAAACACGGCCCAGACUCCUACGGGAGGCA
rnacentral:rRNA from 1 species